AAGCGGAGGAAAAGAAACCAACAGGGAUUGCCCUAGUAACGGCGAGUGAAGCGGCAACAGCUCAAAUUUGAAAGCUGGCCUUCGGGUCCGCAUUGUAAUUUGUAGAGGAUGCUUUGAGGCAGCCGCCUGUCUAAGUUCCUUGGAACAGGACGUCAUAGAGGGUGAGAAUCCCGUAUGUGACAGGACGUGGCACCUUAUGUAAAGCUCCUUCGACGAGUCGAGUUGUUUGGGAAUGCAGCUCUAAAUGGGAGGUAAAUUUCUUCUAAAGCUAAAUACCGGCGAGAGACCGAUAGCGCACAAGUAGAGUGAUCGAAAGAUGAAAAGCACUUUGGAAAGAGAGUUAAAAAGCACGUGAAAUUGUUGAAAGGGAAGCGCUUGCAAUCAGACUUGUUCAAACCGUUCGGCCGGUCUUCUGACCGGUUUACUCGGUUUGGACAGGCCAGCAUCAGUUUUGGCGGCCGGAUAAAGGCCCUGGGAAUGUGGCUUCCACUUCGGUGGAAGUGUUAUAGCCCAGGGUGUAAUACGGCCAGCCGGGACUGAGGUCCGCGCUUCGGCUAGGAUGCUGGCGUAAUGGUUGUAAGCGACCCGUCUUGA
rnacentral:rRNA from 2 species